CAGUCGCCGCGGGAAUACAGAGGGUGCGAGCGUUAAUCGGAUUUACUGGGCGUAAAGCGUGCGUAGGCGGCUUUUUAAGUCGGAUGUGAAAUCCCUGAGCUUAACUUAGGAAUUGCAUUCGAUACUGGGAAGCUAGAGUAUGGGAGAGGAUGGUAGAAUUCCAGGUGUAGCGGUGAAAUGCGUAGAGAUCUGGAGGAAUACCGAUGGCGAAGGCAGCCAUCUGGCCUAAUACUGACGCCGAGGUACGAAAGCAUGGGGAGCAAACAGGAUUAGAUACCCCCGUAGUCCCUGUCUCUUAUAC
rnacentral:rRNA from 1 species